GGCCAUAGCCUGAAGUGAUAGCCAGGAACAGAUUCACCCAAAGACUGAGUGUAAGUGUGAAGAUGGUCCUGAUGUCCAGGAGAUGUGCCUGCCAAAUCCAGAGCAAGUGAAACCUCCAGAAGCAGCUGAAAAGCAAUCACAGCGUUAAAAGAAGACACGCUGAAAUGAUGCAGGCUGCUUUCAUGUUGGAAAUUUGUUCAUUAAAGUUCUCUCAAUAAAGUUUUACAGCCUUCUGCAAA